rnacentral:rRNA from 1 species
GACGAACGCUGGCGGCGUGCUUAACACAUGCAAGUCGAACGGAAAGGCCCUGCUUUUGUGGGGUGCUCGAGUGGCGAACGGGUGAGUAACACGUGAGUAACCUGCCCUUGACUUUGGGAUAAGUUCAGGAAACUGGGGCUAAUACCGGAUAGGAGCUCCUGCUGCAUGGUGGGGGUUGGAAAGUUUCGGCGGUUGGGGAUGGACUCGCGGCUUAUCAGCUUGUUGGUGGGGUAGUGGCUUACCAAGGCUUUGACGGGUAGCCGGCCUGAGAGGGUGACCGGCCACAUUGGGACUGAGAUACGGCCCAGACUCCUACGGGAGGCAGCAGUGGGGAAUAUUGCACAAUGGGCGGAAGCCUGAUGCAGCAACGCCGCGUGCGGGAUGGCGGCCUUCGGGUUGUAAACCGCUUUCGCCUGUGACGAAGCGUGAGUGACGGUAAUGGGUAAAGAAGCACCGGCUAACUACGUG